AUAUUAAAAGAAAAGAAAAGUAAUAAAAGCUUCUCUUGAGAUCUCUCUCACGGACCACACAUUUUCUUUCUUUGAUCUCACCAAAAAUGAACAUGAAGAUGUAAAAAUUUGAAGAAGUUUAUUAUUCAUGAUGAACACCUUCAUCCUCCAUUUUUAAACACAACAUUUCAUAAAACUCCACCAUAUCACAAGAACACAUGAACCUAUAACAAACGCAUUUCCGUCUCCGGCUAAUGAAACAACCUCCACCAUUACCACUCCGUCGUACCACCGAUCUUCAGCCGUGAAUCCAAACCACGUCUACUACACCAUAACAAACCCACCGACGAAACUCUCACAAACCUCACGCCGGCACUCCAAAACGCAAAGCCGUCACACCUUACAAAACCCCAACACACGCCUCACCGUGUCCACCACCAUAAAACUACCCAACCACCCUCAACCGCCGCGAUCUAAAGCCGGCGAGCCUUAAAUCUCCUUUCACCGUUGUACUUCUUGUUCCGCCGACAACUCGAAACCACCUCCGAUUCCGACCCACUGCUCAUCCCUCUCUAUUUACGGUUAUUACUACAACAACAUUCACGAACACACUGUCCACAAGACUCGGUCCGAUUUCUACAGCCACGAAAUCAUGCAUUGUCAUGUCGGCGAUGUUGAUGGCGAGGUUUCGAUCGUGCGCACAGCUUGUUGUUCUGCUGUUAUUGUGAUUUUGAUGCAAGGUCCUUUUUGAAACGGUUCUGGCUCAUUGGAUUUGGUCUUUUGGAACGUCUUGGUGACUUUGAUUCGAAGAACCACCGCGUACUAAUUCAAACUCGCACAACAACUUUGACGGAGCAGCCAUAAAACCUUGAUAGAGACUACCCAUUAGCAGGUUCAACACGACGACACGACGUUAGUUCAAAGAUGGAAAUAAUGUGCAUAUAGAUUACAAAGAGGCGAUUGAAAUUUAAGUAGCUUGCUGUAUUGGAAAUGAUUAAUCAAUUUAGAACUUCCUCAUAGUGUAAUGACACACCGUAAACAUACCCCUGUCGGUACCUUGGUUUGUUUGGCCAUUAUUGAAGAAUGUUAGACUUACAUUUCUACUUUAGUGGAAUGUUUAAUUUUGGUAGACUUGAGAGAUAUUUAUAUUUCUCUACUAGUACCUUUAAUGUGCUAUCUAUUUGUCUUAUUUUUCAGUAAUCAAAUCUACCUAUGUUAAUGGUUGGAAAAAAUGCAUUUGUGGGUUUAUUAUUUGUAUCCUUUUCUAUACUGUACAUGCCUUACAUACUAAUAUGCACACCUUGUCCAAAUUAUUUAUUUA